rnacentral:rRNA from 1 species
CUCCUUCUGAAAGGAUAGAAGGUAGGCCCUGCCCAAUGCGAAAGUGAAUGGCCGCAGUAAUUUGACUGUGCUAAGGUAGCAUAAUAAUUUGGCUUUUAAUUGGAGUCUGGAAUGAAGGGGUUGACAGGCUUUCUGCUUUCUUCUUGAAAGCAUUUUUAAUUUUAGUUUCAGGUAAAAACUCCUGAAUGAGAGGGAGGGACGAUAAGACCCUAUAGAUCUGCCCCCUUCUUUUUCUUCUAACAAGAAAAAAGAAGGGGUCGCUUGGGAUGAGACGAAAUAGACUGUGAACAUUCGUUAAUAUGAAGUCAGAUAAGACAAAAUAAGAUCCCCUAUAUUAGGGAGAAAAAGGAAAGUUACCUUAGGGAUAACAGCGUUAUACUCACUGCUAGAACUUAUGGUUGUGAGUGUUUGCGACCUCGAUGUUGAAUUAAGUUUUCCUUUUUACGAAGAAAGAAAAAAGGUUAGUCUGUUCGACUAUUAAAAACUU